rnacentral:rRNA from 1 species
AUGAAACGCCGUCUGGAGGAUGGCAAGGCUUGAACGCCGAAGAAGGGCGCGGCAAGCAGCGAAACGCCCCGGGUAGCUGCAUGCAAGUUUAGAACCGGGGAUACCCGAAUGAGACUUCUCACUGUGGAUUCUACGGAAUCCAUGGUGCUCCCAUAUGGGAGCGGGAACCCCCUGAACUGAAACAUCUUAGUAGGGGGAGGAAAAGAAACCAACAGGGAUUCCCCUAAUAGCAGCGAGCGAAAAGGGAAAAGUCCAAACCAAAUCUUGUAAGGGAACUUACGAGAGAUGUAGGGUUGAGGGACCAGCCGCCUUCUCAUCCGGCUAGGCCAAAAUGGCCUGAAAAGGCCUGCCAAAGAGGGUGAUAGCCCCGUAGGCACCAACCGAAAGAAGAUGGGCUGGAACCCCAGAUUACCGCAUCCUGGCAUAGGUGUGAAAAGCUGGGAGUCACCAACUCCCAAGACUAAACACGAUUCAAGACCGAUAGCGCACUAGUACGGUGACGGAAAGCUGAAAAGCACCCCGGAA